GGAGAGGUACCGAAGUGGUUUAACGGGGCCGACUCGAAAUCGGUUGAGAGUCCACAAGAUUCUCCGUGGGUUCGAAUCCCACUCUCUCCG
rnacentral:tRNA from 1 species